ensembl:lncRNA
GUCCUGGAGCAGCAGCGGGCCAUUUCUGAUGUCAUCUCAGCAGACAAGAAAUCAAGACACUUGAUUCCUACUUGGCAGGAUCUUGAGGUACUGGAGUCUGUCAACCAGGCAUUACACCCCCUGCAAGACUUUACAGAUGCCCUGUCUGGUGAGAGCUACGUUAGUGUUUCAUAUGUAAAACCAGUCCUUCAUCUGAUGAAGACGUCGGUGCUUGCAGAGAAGGAAGAAGACAGUGAUUUGACAAAAUCAAUUAAGAAGAAAAUCCUCGAGUACCUGAUUACUAAAUAUGAAAAUCCAGCUACCCAGGAACUUAUGGACAUGGCGUGCUUCAUGGAUCCCAGAUUUAAAGUCAGCUACACCAGCACUGAUCAAGUCUCAGACAUCAAGACCAGAGUGAUGUCAGAAAUGGAAGCAGUGGCACAGAAGGAGAGAAGCUCCGCUGAACCAGAGGCCCAGACAGAUGAUCCACCCAGUCGUCCCCUGAAGAAGGCAAAAAAAGUCCCUGGGCAGUUUCUUCAAGGCAGCUCCAAUCCCUACCUCCUCUUUUAUGCAUCUCUCACAAGCUGUUGAAGCUGAGCUUAACAGCUACUUGCUAUCCACGGCCAUAGACAGUGAGGAAGACCCCUUGGCAUGGUGGAAACUCCACAAAAUGACAUUCCCACAGCUAAGCAAGCUUGCAAGGAAGUAUCUCUGCAUACCUGCAAGUAGCUCACCUUCAGAGAGACUUUUUAGUACAUCAGGAAACAUAGUAACAUGUCAGCGCACAUGUUUAAAACCUUGGAGAGUAAACAUGUUGGUUUUCCUUAACAAGAACUUGCCAUAAAAAACAUUCACUCAGGAAGGAUGAAUGCAAGAUAGAGAAACCUUUUUUUUUUUUCAAAAAAAUUACAAAAAUACACUACCUACAUUGUUCUUAAUUGUUGAUAAUAUUAGUCUUGGCCAGUACGACCACAAAGGUAGACAAUUGUUCUUUGGUGUGUUCCCACAGCAGACAAGUUCUUACCUAUAGUUUAAUCUAGUAAAGUUUCCACUCCAGUUUUGACUUGCAUCAUAACUACUUGGUGAGUGGUAAAAUGAUGAACAACUGCAUAGAGAUAAUUUGCAGUAUAAUUUAAGUUAUGUUUAUUUAAAACUAAUUAUAGAGACCGGGAAGGAUGUCUUUCAGAAUUCAAGCCUCAGAAAUUUUUUUAUGGGGGCAAUGUUUCAAUGUUUGACUGCACUUUGUUGUUACACUGCUAAUACAGCAGCUUUCAUUAAAUAAAACUGUGCAGUAAAACGGAAAUUAUGUAUUUGUUUUUUUUUUUUUUUUUUGCUAUUUAUUUUAUCGCAAGUCAUAUCGUUAUCGCAGUAUUGAUCACAGUUAUCGCACAUCGCAGGUUUUCCUAAUAUCGUGCAGCCCUAAUUCAUGCUAAAAACAGUUAAAAUGUGUGGGUUCGAAAUUUGCUCAGAGUGAGCCAUCGUUAUCACAAGCGAUCUUUGUAUUGUAUGUGCGGAAAUGGGAGCGAGGGAGCGCUCUGAUCAUUCGCCUAUCUUUGACGUAUUUUCUCCGUUAAUGCUGUGAAAAGUGCUUCGGCAGUAUUAAAAGAGUGAAUGAGUUCAUGUACACGCUAAGAGUGCCCUACACGCUUGUGCCUUGGGAAACGUUUGUCUUUUUACAAAUAAGAAAUAGCAAGGAGAACCCUUGAGAGAGAAAAGGCUUAAAAAGAUCUUCAUUAAAAGCAAGAAAAGCAAGGCUUGUGUGGAAGAUCUCGUCUAUUUUGUUCGCUAGCUGUCUAGCUUCACAUGGUCGUGUCGUGAGGGCAGCACAGUAAAAAGACACCUACUCAGCGGGUUCAAGCAUACAGAGCUACUUUAAGCAACAUGAGUCUACGCUCAGGAAGAAAUUACCUAAAAGACUACGCUGCUGAAGAGCUAGACGAAGCAGCCGGUGGUGAACAGCAACCAGACGUCGCC